rnacentral:rRNA from 1 species
AGUGAACGCUGGCGGUAGGCCUAACACAUGCAAGUCGAACGGCAGCACAGUAAGAGCUCGCCCUCACGGGUGGCGCGUGGCGGAUGGGCGAGGAAGCCAUCGGAAACUACUUUUCCGUGGGGGCUAACGUAGGGAAACUUACGCUAUUACGGCACACGACCUACGGGUGAAAGCAGGGGAUCUUCGGACUUUGCGCGUUUGAAUGAGCCGCUGUCGGAUUAGCUAGUUGGCGGGGUAAGGGCCCACCAAGCGGACGAUCCGUAGCUGGCCUGAGAGGGUGAACAGCCACACCGGAACUGAGACACGGUCCAGAGUCGUGCGUGAGGCAGCGGUGGGGACUAUUAGUCAAUAGGCGCAUGCAUGAUCCACCCAUACCGCGUGGGUGAAGGAAGCCUUCGAGUUGUAAAGCCCUUUUUUGGUGAUAGAAAUGCACCAGGUUACUUUCGCGCUCUUCUGACUAUACGCAAUGAAUAAGCACCGGCUAGCUUCGUG